rnacentral:rRNA from 1 species
AGAGUUUGAUCAUGGCUCAGGACGAACGCUGGCGGCGUGCCUAACACAUGCAAGUCGAACGGAGAUAAACGCUGAUGAUUUAGCUUGCUAGAGAAUCUUGUUUAUCUUAGUGGCGGACGGGUGAGUAACGCGUGAGCAACCUGCCUUUCAGAGGGGGAUAACGUCUUGAAAAGGACGCUAAUACCGCAUGACAUUGUGAGAUCACAUGGUUUUGCAAUCAAAGGAGCAAUCCGCUGAAAGAUGGGCUCGCGUCCGAUUAGGUAGUUGGUGAGAUAACAGCCCACCAAGCCGACGAUCGGUAGCCGG